rnacentral:rRNA from 2 species
UCCAGAGAUGGAUUGGUGCCUUCGGGAACUGUGAGACAGGUGCUGCAUGGCUGUCGUCAGCUCGUGUUGUGAAAUGUUGGGUUAAGUCCCGCAACGAGCGCAACCCUUAUCCUUUGUUGCCAGCGGUCCGGCCGGGAACUCAAAGGAGACUGCCAGUGAUAAACUGGAGGAAGGUGGGGAUGACGUCAAGUCAUCAUGGCCCUUACGACCAGGGCUACACACGUGCUACAAUGGCAUAUACAAAGAGAAGCGACCUCGCGAGAGCAAGCGGACCUCAUAAAGUAUGUCGUAGUCCGGAUUGGAGUCUGCAACUCGACUCCAUGAAGUCGGAAUCGCUAGUAAUCGUAGAUCAGAAUGCUACGGUGAAUACGUUCCCGGGCCUUGUACACACCGCCCGUCACACCAUGGGAGUGGGUUGCAAAAGAAGUAGGUAGCUUAACCUUCGGGAGGGCGCUUACCACUUUGUGAUUCAUGACUGGGGUGAAGUCGUAACAAGGUAACCGUAGGGGAACCUGCGGUUGGAUCACCUCCUUA